rnacentral:rRNA from 1 species
UACGGAGGGGGCAAGCGUUAUUCGGAAUUAUUGGGCGUAAAGGGCGCGUAGGCGGCUAGAUGUGUCAAAGGUGAAAUCCCUCGGCUCAACUGAGUAACUGCCUUUGAAACUGUCUGGCUUGAGGCCGGGAGAGGGUAGCGGAAUUCCCAGUGUAGCGGUGAAAUGCGUAGAUAUUGGGAGGAACACCAGUGGCGAAGGCGGCUACCUGGACCGGUUCUGACGCUGAGGCGCGAAAGCGUGGGUAGCAAACAGG